rnacentral:rRNA from 1 species
UACGUAGGGGGGCAAGCGUUGUCCGGAAUCAUUGGGCGUAAAGAGCGUGUAGGCGGCUUGGCAAGUCUGACGUGAAAGCCCGCGGCUCAACCGCGGAUUGUCCUUGGAAACUGCCUCGCUAGAGUCCGGAAGAGGAGAGCGGAAUUCCUGGUGUAGCGGUGGAAUGCGCAGAUAUCAGGAAGAACACCCGUGGCGAAGGCGGCUCUCUGGGACGGUACUGACGCUGAGACGCGAAAGCAUGGGGAGCGAACAGG